AUUGAACGCUGGCGGCAGGCCUAACACAUGCAAGUCGAGCGGAUGAAGGGAGCUUGCUCCUGGAUUCAGCGGCGGACGGGUGAGUAAUGCCUAGGAAUCUGCCUGGUAGUGGGGGACAACGUUUCGAAAGGAACGCUAAUACCGCAUACGUCCUACGGGAGAAAGCAGGGGACCUUCGGGCCUUGCGCUAUCAGAUGAGCCUAGGUCGGAUUAGCUAGUUGGUGAGGUAAUGGCUCACCAAGGCGACGAUCCGUAACUGGUUUGAGAGGAUGAUCAGUCACACUGGAACUGAGACACGGUCCAGACUCCUACGGGAGGCAGCAGUGGGGAAUAUUGGACAAUGGGCGAAAGCCUGAUCCAGCCAUGCCGCGUGUGUGAAGAAGGUCUUCGGAUUGUAAAGCACUUUAAGUUGGGAGGAAGGGUUGUAGAUUAAUACUCUGCAAUUUUGACGUUACCGACAGAAUAAGCACCGGCUAACUCUGUGCCAGCCGCCGCAGUAAUAC
rnacentral:rRNA from 1 species